rnacentral:lncRNA from 1 species
CACUGACCUCGGUCAACGAGAAGUCAUUCAUAUUCCCCUUUACAACAAAGUAAGUUUAAUUUAUUUUAUUUCUUCGAAUUGAUUACUUUAUACUACAAUUAACUGUAAAUAAUUUAUUUUCAAUCUUUUCGGUUUAGGUGGUCUGUUCUGGGGAUGAACUACAACAAAUAUCUCAAACACGCUAUAAUAGUCUAUCACAAUCUUAUAGACCACCUUGG